GCUCAGACUGAACGCUGGCGGCAGGCCUAACACAUGCAAGUCGAGCGGAAACGAGUUAUCUGAACCUUCGGGGAACGAUAACGGCGUCGAGCGGCGGACGGGUGAGUAAUGCCUAGGAAAUUGCCCUGAUGUGGGGGAUAACCAUUGGAAACGAUGGCUAAUACCGCAUAAUACCUACGGGUCAAAGAGGGGGACCUUCGGGCCUCUCGCGUCAGGAUAUGCCUAGGUGGGAUUAGCUAGUUGGUGAGGUAAUGGCUCACCAAGGCGACGAUCCCUAGCUGGUCUGAGAGGAUGAUCAGCCACACUGGAACUGAGACACGGUCCAGACUCCUACGGGAGGCAGCAGUGGGGAAUAUUGCACAAUGGGCGCAAGCCUGAUGCAGCCAUGCCGCGUGUGUGAAGAAGGCCUUCGGGUUGUAAAGCACUUUCAGUCGUGAGGAAGGUAGUGUAGUUAAUAGCUGCAUUAUUUGACGUUAGCGACAGAAGAAGCACCGGCUAACUCCGUGCCAGCAG
rnacentral:rRNA from 1 species